rnacentral:rRNA from 1 species
UGGCUUACGGGGGGCAGCAGUGGGGAAUAUUGCACAAUGGGGGGAACCCUGAUGCAGCGACGCCGCGUGAGUGAAGAAGUAUUUCGGUAUGUAAAGCUCUAUCAGCAGGGAAGAAAAUGACGGUACCUGACUAAGAAGCCCCGGCUAACUACGUGCCAGCAGCCGCGGUAAUACGUAGGGGGCAAGCGUUAUCCGGAUUUACUGGGUGUAAAGGGAGCGUAGACGGCAUAGCAAGUCUGAAGUGAAAGCCCAAGGCUCAACCAUGGGACUGCUAUGGAAACUGUUAAGCUAGAGUGCUGGAGAGG